AAGCAACUAAACAAGAUGAGCUCAACAAAUGCAACAUGUCAACCAGUGUUGAGUAUAGCCAUGCUGCAGCAUUAUACUGUUAUACCUUCAUUGCUGAUAAUCUUUGUACUUUAUGCUUAUGAAUAUUAUAAAACUAGACAGGUUAAAGUUAUUGCACCAUUUCUGUUUCUACUGGACAAUGAUAAGAAUCGCUUCAUGGUAAUACUUGCUUUUGCAUCAAUGAUUGGAGAUAUUGUGCAUCUUUUAAUGAACAGUUCCACUGUGCUUGUGUUUCUGCCUGGGGUUAUUGGCCAGGCUUUUUGUGGUACUAUUUAUAUUAUAGAGAUUGGACUGAUAAACUUUCCGUUAUUUGCUUGUAUUAAUUCUUCAUAUGUUGUCAUGGCGUAUGUUUUUGGUGCAUUGUUUACAUUGUGGAAAUUAAUUUUUGUGUUGUUACAGUCUUGUUAUUACUCCUGCUCCUUUAAUGUUACGGAACUUGUUUUGGUAAAUGUUAUGGAAAACUUACCCAGCAUUUUAAGCAUGUUGGCUCUUUUUGAAAUAUUUGUUAAAAAUUGUUACAUAAAUUUGAAGCAAGGAGUGUACUGCAGACCGUUACUGGAGCAUAAACUAGUGAACGACUAUCAAAUUACUUAUGUGAAGAAAGCGCUUAAUGUCCUUUCAAGAGACGUUGUAGAUUUUUAUAGCAGCAACUUCCUCAAAAGAUUGUACAGCAGAUACAGCAAGCCUUGGUUUAAGUUUUCUACUGUGUUUUUAUCAUCUAUCGUGGUUAUCAUGAUUGUGUAUUAUUAUCUGGCUGUUUUAUCCAUAUAUGGUUUCAGUAAAGCAAAUGGGAUUCUUCUUACUUCACUGGAGUCUAAUAUCAAUUCAACCGAAAACAUAUACCCAACACUUAAGAAAACAAUGGAAGGUUUUUACAUUUCAUUUUAUGUUUCCUUUGCUGUAACUGGAAUAGUGUAUGGUCUGCUACUGCUUCACUUUAUCUAUUCACACCGUGCAAAUGUGUUAACUCUGUAUGCUGGCAAAAAAACUGAUAUUUCCAAACUUGUUAACUAUCGAUUAAUGGUUUAUUACAAUUUAUUCUUUCCUGGUUAUUUGGUUGCAUACAUGACCUGGGGGAUGAUUGUUUUUUUCAUUGUAUUUUUCAUUUUGUUCUUCCUGAUAUAUGGAUUUAUUGUUUUGGCAGUUGAUUUUCCAUCUGUUCAAGAAGUUGCGGAAAAUCUUUUAAGGUUUUCUUCUCAAAUCUCCUCAAAAAAAUAUGACAUUUGGUUAUUUUGUAUGCUGUUUUUAUAUUAUUUAUGUUGAAUCACAACAAUUUAUGGUAUGCCUGCAAAGAUUACUUUUUUUGUUGUGUUUGUAUUUGAAGGAAGAGUUCUUAGUUAUCUUUUGUAAAUAAUAUUAAGAUCUUUGUGUUAACAAUUAUUAAAGUAUAAAUAUGUCACCUCCGCCAUGGUGUUUUGACAAUAUGUCAAUGUUUACAUAUAAACUGAUCAGAUGAAAUGUAAAAGAUGUGAUUAUUUUUGUAUUGUAUAUAUAUCUUUCCAAAAUUUUCUUUUUUACAUUUUUUCUAAAUUUUUGUAUUUUUAAAGAAAGGCAAAAAAUUUAUUGUUUGUUGUUAUUUAUUGCUAAUUUGUCCUUUAUAAUUGUCUGUGAUGUGUGCCCAAAAAAUAAAUAAAUACUUUUUUCUUAAUUCAGUAUUUACUUAUUUAUUUAGAGAAUAAUAGACAUCAAAAACAUUUUGACAACAAAUUUUUACAAACGCAAAUGCAAAUUUUUGUUUUUGAAAAGAUUUACUGUGGCAAAUAAUUGCUGAACAAAUAAACUAAGCCACCCGCUGUGACAUUUCCAUAGUUUUGUAACAUUCAUUUUUACUAAACAAAAAACAACGUAUUUUAAUCCUGAAAACCAAUGCAUGACACAAAAACCUUCUUCACUUAUAAUUAUGCAUAUACCUUGUUGUGUAUUUUUAUGCCAUUUACUUCCUCACACUUUAUUUUUUUUCCAGUAUAAAUAAUGAGAAAUUAAGGGAUGAGAUACAUUUUUAAUUUUAUUUUCAUUCCACUAAAUGGUUUAUUGUAGCCAUAUUUUAGACUUGCUUUGUGUCAAAAUAAAAUUAUUAAUAUACUUUGACUUAUUUAAAAUCAAAAUUGUCUUUAAAAUCUAGUUAAGUUUGAGUACUGGUUUUAAAUAUAUAACAAUAUUAUAGAGAGAAAAUUAAAUUUAACACGCAUAAUGGCAAGCAGACCUUCAUUCAAGUUUCCAAUCUAUUUCUUACCAGAUAUUUUCCACAGAGUUCUUCCAUUCCAUAUGGCGAAAGGUAAUAAUGCUAUUAUUAAAUAUUACCUAACUGAUACAAAAAAAUUAAUUCGUUUGUGCCUUAUUAUAACAGGGUUUUUUAUGGACUCAUACUAACUGGUUUGGAAAGCCAUUAUUUAAAUAGUGUGACAAAACUGAAUUCCAUUCAAUUUUGAACUAUCCUGAAAUACAAAAGCAUGCGAGCAAUGAGGGGCAUUGUUAAUAAUUGUGAUUGUGUUAUUGAAAUACGAGAUGCUAGAGUAAGUUUAUUUUUUCAGUUUUAGUGUUUUGUAUUCUCUUGUCAAAAGGAUCAGCACGAUUCUUCCUUGGAAAAGACAUCGCGUUAACGUCAUUUUUUACCUUUCUCUCUGUCUUAAAACAUGCAAAGGUAUUCAUCCUGAAACUAUAAGUUGUUGUUAUAUCCUGUGUUUAAUUUGUACCAGCGAAGCAAACAAAUAUUGUUUGUGGUAAUUUUUGUGAUAAUGUUUGUGAUAUUGUUUGUAAUAAUAAUAGUAAGUGAUAAUGUCACAUAAAUGAACAAAUAAUAUAAAAAGAUGUUUAAAAGAGUAUUAAAAUCGUUCUUUAGAGUAAACAUUUGUGAAGUUGGGGAAUGUUAAGGGAAAUAAAUUCGGUCCGACAAGAGUGAUUCCACCUUUUAGCAAUGCUUUUCAGGGAUUUUUACCCAAUUGGCAAAAUAAAACACCUGAAUAGAAGUUUUUUCGCUCUGGCAAAGAUAAACUGUUUGAUUGGGAAAAAUGGAACAGGUGUAAACCUGCCUUUAUACCUUCCAAACAAAAGUGUCAUCUACAAUUUUGCGCUUGUGACCUGCAAUCAGUUCCAAAAGGCUGUAGAGCAAGGGACAGGGUUCAAGAUUUUCUGACUAUAUAGUGAAUAGAAUAACUCCAGGGACAACUGCAAUUAGGUUGGUGUUUUCUUUAGGUUCCAUUUUCCAGCACCAAUCCACAAUUUGAGGAUUUGUAUGCAAAUAAACCCAGAAUAAUACUAAUGAACAAAAUAGAUAUUGCUGAUGAAAAGAAGACAAAGGUUUGUGUACGCAUAUUUUUAAAUAUUAAUAAAUCCAAUAUGAAAGGGUGCAAGGGAAAGUAGCUGUUGAAAUCACUGUGAUAUGUUUUUGAUUAAAUAACUGCACUGAUGUGUGAAAAACAUUGAAACAAAACUGGAUUAUCAAAACUAGUUCAUAAGCUAAAUUAAUUGGUUUGUGCGCCUCACUGUACCAAAGUCAUUUACAUCUUUGCAUAUUAUGUCAAGUGGAAAAGGUAUCAGUUGUUUUUUCACAUUCAAAAGGCCUACUAAAUAAACUUACAGAGCUCAUCAAAAAUACAGACACAGAAACAAAUUUGAUUUAAAAAUCUCUGUUAUAAUGCCCGUAUACGUCUGUUCGUCCAUCUGUCUGUCACGCAAAAUGGUAGCCUAGCUGCGACGGGCGAACCUGUGGAUUUUUCCACGAGCUAACGACUAGUUUUAUAAUAAUAUGCUAACUGUGUCUGUAUGAGGCUAUUCCGCCAUCAUUUCUUUACCUUAAAAAUAAGGAAGAGCAUACUGGCAAUUUAUAUUCACAGCCUGUAGAUUUCAUCAAUAAUUAAAAUUUGCGCGUUAUAGUGUCCUGGU